rnacentral:rRNA from 1 species
GACGAACCGUGCGAACGUUAUUCGGAAUCAUUGGGCUUAUAGGGCGCGUAGGCGGCGGCGUAAGUUGGAAGUGAAAUCCCAUCGGCUCAACCGUGGAAUAGCUUUCAGUACUGCGUCGCUCGAGUGAGAUAGGGGUCCGUGGAACUACCGGUGGAGCGGUGAAAUGUGUUGAUAUCGGUGGGAACGCCAGUGGCGAAGGCGACUACCUGGCCUGUUCUUGACGCUGAGGCGCGAAAGCUGGGGGAGCAAACGGG